GCCUGACUAGCUUAGUUGGUAAAGCAUCAGACUUCUAAUCUGAGGAUCCACAGUUCAAAUCCGUGGUCAGGUG